UGAUGUAUGGACUUUUACACCAGGCUUUUACCCUGCACGAGCUGGCCAACUUGAGGGGAACUGAAGUGGGCAAACCUCGCCCUGUCCUUGAACAAGAAAGCUUGAUUUGUUGAGAGAGUAUCAUUUAAGCUGAAAUCCAGCAUGAAACCAGGGAGGUGAUGGCCAUCGCACAGGCCACGUGCCGACUAUUCACUUUCCACCAGCUUGUGACUUGCUCCAUGAAGGGAGCAACAACUACAACUGGGUCACCAAGACCAAGCCUCCCCGCUGCUGAGAGAAAUGCAAUCAUUGAUGUCAUAGCCAAAACCUUUGACAAGCCUCUGGUUGAUGUUGAAGAAAAGAUGAGAGGUUGUUUAAGGCAUCUGCGGCUGAUGCACAAGUAGACUGAAGUCUUUGUUAAUAAAAUGUGCUGUUAAAAUGAUUAUUUAACCAUUGUUUUCACUUUGUUAUAUAGAUUUGCACCUGUUUCAACAACAUUAACUUAUUUUUAUGCUCCCGGUAGGGUCUCAUAUAGCAGUUGAACUGUCCGUCUGUCUGUCUAUCCGUCCGAAAACUUUAGCAUUGGUCAUAACUUUUGCAAUAUUGAAGAAAGCAACUUGAUAUUUAGCAUGCAUGUGUUUCUCAUUGAGCUGCACAUUUUGAGUGGUGCAAGGUCUAGGUCAUCCUUCAAGGUCAGAGGUCAAAAUCCAAUGGAAGAAACAAGGGCUGUUUGUAAAACAUGCAUGCCCCCCAUAUGGGCUGUCCGUUGUAGUGGCAGCCAUUGUGUGAAUACGAUUUUUGUCACUGUGACCUUGACCUUUGACCUAGUGACCUGAAAAUCAAUAGGGGUCAUCUGCAAGUCAUGAUCAAUCUACCUAUGAAGUUUCAUGAUCCUAGGCGUAUGAGUUCUUGAGUUAUCAUCCGAAAACCAUUUUACUAUUUCGGUAAACCGUGACCUUGACCUUUGACCUAGUGACCUGAAAAUCAAUAGGGGUCAUCUGCGAGUCAUGAUCAAUCUACCCAUGAAGUUUCAUGAUCCUAGGCGUAUGCGUUCUUGAGUUAUCAUCCGGAAACCAUUUUACUAUUUCAGGUCACCGUGACCUUUGACCUAGUGACCUCGAAAUUGAAAGGGGUCAUCUGCGAGUCAUGAUCAAUCUACCCAUGAAGUUUCAUGAUCCUAGGCGUAUGCGUUCUUGAGUUAUCAUCCGGAAACCAUUUUACUAUUUCGGGUCACCGUGACCUUGACCUUUGACCUAGUGACCUCAAAAUCAAUAGGGGUCAUCUGCGAGUCAUGAUCAAUGUACCUAUGACGUUUCAUGAUCCUAGACCCAAGCGUUCUUGAGUUAUCAUCCGGAAACCACCUGGUGGACGGACCGACCGACCGACAUGAGCAAAGCAAUAUACCCCCUCUUCUUCAAAGGGGGGC